AUGCACGCUGGCGGCGUGCCUAAUACAUGCAAGUCGAGCGAACAGACGAGGAGCUUGCUCCUCUGACGUUAGCGGCGGACGGGUGAGUAACACGUGGAUAACCUACCUAUAAGACUGGGAUAACUUCGGGAAACCGGAGCUAAUACCGGAUAAUAUAUUGAACCGCAUGGUUCAAUAGUGAAAGACGGUUUUGCUGUCACUUAUAGAUGGAUCCGCGCCGCAUUAGCUAGUUGGUAAGGUAACGGCUUACCAAGGCAACGAUGCGUAGCCGACCUGAGAGGGUGAUCGGCCACACCGGAACUGAGACACGGUCCAGACUCCUACGGGAGGCAGCAGUAGGGAAUCUUCCGCAAUGGGCGAAAGCCUGACGGAGCAACGCCGCGUGAGUGAUGAAGGUCUUCGGAUCGUAAAACUCUGUUAUUAGGGAAGAACAAAUGUGUAAGUAACUAUGCACGUCUUGACGGUACCUAAUCAGAAAGCCACGGCUAACUACGUG
rnacentral:rRNA from 1 species